UACGUAGGGGGCUAGCGUUGUCCGGAAUCAUUGGGCGUAAAGCGCGUGUAGGCGGCCCGGUAAGUCCGCUGUGAAAGUCGGGGGCUCAACCCUCGAAUGCCGGUGGAUACUGUCGGGCUAGAGUGCGGAAGAGGCGAGUGGAAUUCCUGGUGUAGCGGUGAAAUGCGCAGAUAUCAGGAGGAACACCAAUUGCGAAGGCAGCGCGCUGGGACGUUACUGACGCUGAGACGCGAAAGCGUGGGGAGCAAACAGG
rnacentral:rRNA from 1 species